rfam:Buceros rhinoceros silvestris contig40469, whole genome shotgun sequence.
ACUCCUGUUCUUGGCAGGCCCCGGCCGCCCCGUGCCUGGGUCUGUGAUGUCCGGAGGUAGAGCAGCGACUCUUUCACGGGCACCCCCUUGCCGUGGGGAAAGAU